GAUGAACGCUGACAGAAUGCUUAACACAUGCAAGUCAACUUGAAUUUGGGUUUUUAACUUCGGUUUGGGUGGCGGACGGGUGAGUAACGCGUAAAGAACUUGCCUCACAGCUAGGGACAACAUUUGGAAACGAAUGCUAAUACCUAAUAUUAUGAUAAUAGGGCAUCCUAUAAUUAUGAAAGCUAUAAGCGCUGUGAGAGAGCUUUGCGUCCCAUUAGCUAGUUGGAGAGGUAACGGCUCACCAAGGCGAUGAUGGGUAGCCGGCCUGAGAGGGUGAUCGGCCACAAGGGGACUGAGACACGGCCCUUACUCCUACGGGAGGCAGCAGUGGGGAAUAUUGGACAAUGGACCGAGAGUCUGAUCCAGCAAUUCUGUGUGCACGAUGAAGUUUUUCGGAAUGUAAAGUGCUUUCAGUUGGGAAGAAACAAAUGACGGCACCAACAGAAGAAGUGACGGCUAAAUACGUG
rnacentral:rRNA from 1 species